rnacentral:rRNA from 1 species
UACAGAGGGGGCAAGCGUUGUUCGGAAUUACUGGGCGUAAAGGGCGCGUAGGCGGCUCGUGAAGUCGGGUGUGAAAGCCCGGGGCUCAACCCCGGAACGGCAUCCGAUACUGGCGGGCUUGAGACCGGGAGAGGAGGGUGGAGUACCCAGUGUAGAGGUGAAAUUCGUAGAUAUUGGGUGGAACACCGGUGGCGAAAGCGGCUCUCUGGCCCGGAUCUGACGCUGAGGCGCGAAAGCGUGGGGAGCAAACAGG